GACGAACGCUGGCGGCGUGCUUAACACAUGCAAGUCGAACGGUAAGGCCCUUCGGGGUACACGAGUGGCGAACGGGUGAGUAACACGUGGGUGAUCUGCCCUGCACUUCGGGAUAAGCCUGGGAAACUGGGUCUAAUACCGGAUAGGACCACUGCCUGCAUGGGUGGUGGUGGAAAGCUUUUGCGGUGUGGGAAGGGCCCGCGGCCUAUCAGCUUGUUGGUGGGGUGAUGGGCUACCAAGGCGACGAGGGGUAGCCGGCCGGGGAGGGUGACCGGCCACACGGGGGCUGAGAUACGGCCCAGACUCCGACAGGAGGGAGCAGUGGGAAAUAUUGCACAAUGGGCGAAAGCCUGAUGCAGCGACGCCGCGUGGGGGAUGACGGCCUUCGGGUUGUAAACCUCUUUCAGCACCGACGAAGCGCAAGUGACGGUAGGUGCAGAAGAAGGACCGGCCAACUACGUGCCAGCAGCCGCAGUAA
rnacentral:rRNA from 1 species